rnacentral:rRNA from 1 species
GAUGAAUGCUGGCGGCGUGCCUAAUACAUGCAGGUCGAGCGAACAGACGAGGAGCUUGCUCCUCUGAUGUUAGCGGCGGACGGGUGAGUAACACGUGGAUAACCUACCUAUAAGACUGGGAUAACUUCGGGAAACCGGAGCUAAUACCGGAUAACAUGUUGAACCGCAUGGUUCAACAGUGAAAGACGGUCUUGCUGUCACUUAUAGAUGGAUCCGCGCCGCAUUAGCUAGUUGGUAAGGUAACGGCUUACCAAGGCAACGAUGCGUAGCCGACCUGAGAGGGUGAUCGGCCACACUGGAACUGAGACACGGUCCAGACUCCUACGGGAGGCAGCAGUAGGGAAUCUUCCGCAAUGGGCGAAAGCCUGACGGAGCAACGCCGCGUGAGUGAAGAAGGUCUUCGGAUCGUAAAACUCUGUUAUUAGGGAAGAACAAAUGUGUAAGUAACUAUGCACGUCUUGACGGUACCUAAUCAGAAAGCCACGGCUAACUACGUG